UUAAGUGGUUUUGCGUACAUGUACUUUAAAAGAACUUCCUGACAAUAAGUAACUUACAACCAGACACACCCCCAAAAAGUCACUAUAAAUAGCGUACAAAACAGUAUAGAAACCAGUGGUAACCACAGACCAAUCUAAGAAACUACUUCAACAUGUUCAAACUCUUUGUCUUCUUGGCUCUUGUAGCUCUCGCUUUGGCUGCCCCUAGACCGGAACCCCAAAUUCUGGGCACUACUCUUUAUGGAGGUUAUGCUGGAUAUGGCGGUUACACUGGUUUAGGAUAUGCCCCAUACUCCUAUGGAUUAGGCUACAUCUAAUUGUUACGAAAAUAUAAAUAAAAUUUAAAAAACAAA